GCCGGGUGCAGGGGUGGGUGCCUGUAAUCCCAGCAACUCAGGAGGCUGAGGUUGGAGACCAAGUUCAAGGCCAGCUGCAGCAACUUAGCAAGACCCUGUCUCUC
rnacentral:sRNA from 1 species